rnacentral:rRNA from 1 species
GAUGAACGCUAGCGGCAGGCUUAAUACAUGCAAGUCGUGGGGCAGCAGGUCCCGCCGCAAGGCGGGAUGCUGGCGACCGGCAAACGGGUGCGGAACACGUACGCAACUUUCCUUCAAGCGGGGAAUAGCCCAGGGAAACUUGGAUUAAUACCCCAUAAAAUAAUAGGGUGGCAUCACCUAAUUAUUAAAGCUCCGGCACUUGAAGAUGGGCGUGCGCCUGAUUAGGUAGUUGGCGGGGUAACGGCCCACCAAGCCUACGAUCAGUAACUGGUGUGAGACGACGACCAGUCACACUGGCACUGAGACGCGGGCCCGACUCCUACGGGAGGCAGCAGUGGGGAAUUUUGGACAAUGGGCGCAAGCCUGAGCCAGCAAUGCCGCGUGCAGGAUGAAGGCCUUCGGGUUGUAAACUGCUUUUGUACGGAGCGAAAAGGCUUCCGCUAAUACUGGGGGCUCAUGACGGUACCGUAAGAAUAAGCACCGGCUAACUACGUGCCAGCAGCCGCGGUAACAC